AUUCUCUCAGCUCUGCAAAGUUAUACCUGCAAGGUUAGACCUAACAUGUGUGCCUUCCAUAAUGGGAAAAGAGAGUAAAGAUCUCCUGGGGACCUCAGAUGGGCCUUGCUGUAGCCUCUCUUACUCCAACAGGCAUGUCACGU
rnacentral:snoRNA from 1 species